rnacentral:rRNA from 1 species
UACGUAGGGCGCAAGCGUUGUCCGGAAUUAUUGGGCGUAAAGAGCUCGUAGGCGGUCUGUCGCGUCUGUUGUGAAAACUCGAGGCUCAACCUCGGGCUUGCAGUGGAUACGGGCAGACUAGAGUGCGGUAGGGGAGACUGGAAUUCCUGGUGUAGCGGUGGAAUGCGCAGAUAUCAGGAGGAACACCGAUGGCGAAGGCAGGUCUCUGGGCCGCAACUGACGCUGAGGAGCGAAAGCGUGGGGAGCGAACAGG